UACGUAGGGGUCGAGCGUUGUCCGGAGUUACUGGGCGUAAAGCGCGCGCAGGCGGCGCGAUAAGACCGGCGUGAAAGCCCCCGGCUCAACCGGGGAGGGUCGUUGGUGACUGUCGCGCUUGAAGGCAGCAGGGGUGAGUGGAAUUCCCCGGUGUAGUGGUGAAAUGCGUAGAGAUCGGGAGGAACACCCCGUGGCGAAGGCGGCUCACUGGGCUGACCUUGAC
rnacentral:rRNA from 1 species